GCUCUUGUUUCUACGUGCCAAACACGAGACAUCCGCCCGUUCCGGAAGGGGGGGGGGGGCGAUCUUGCCUUUGGCCCUGGGGAUUUAUGCUACAUAGCAGGACGGGACAAAAGGGGAAGAGCACUGUCCAUCCGAAGGAGGGGAACAUGUACGGUGUCCUGGGCUGUGCGCCAGGCCACGAGGCUGCUCCAGUUCAGAGAAAUUAGAGCCUCCCGCGCAUGCACCAGCUUCCCGGCGCGGGCGGGAAAUCAGGCUCGGGGAGAAGGCCAGAUCCUGAGGCAGCUCGGCCACUGCGUUCGAGGAAGCGAGGAAAAACCUCCAGGAACACACUGCACCAUCUCCGCUGUCACGGAGCUGAGGUUCUGGCAGGGGAGGCGCUAAGCGGUGGGCCUCACAAUUGGACAUAUCCACUGGUUUGACAGAGGAAGGAAGAGAGAAAUAUCGAUGCUGACUUAAAAUGACAUGUGGGAUGAGGCCCUAUUCAAACGGGGGCUUCAGUAGACACCUCUCUCCAAAGACGACAUGUGAAUAGCCCAGAAGCUCACGGAGAGAUUCUCAGCAUCACUAACCGCCGGGGAAAUGCAAACCUGAACAGCAAUGAGACCCCCCGCACCAACACGGCUGUUACGGAGCCAGCGGCAGUUGCAGAACCUAGCUCAGACAUUAAGUGAGGACUUACUGUGGUUCCUCCAAAGACUGAAAACAGAAUUACCACACGAUCCAGCAACUCCGCUUCUGGUUGUCUAACCCAAAGAACCGAGGGCAGGGGCUCCGACGGACACGUGUCCACCCCCGUUCACGCAGCAUCGCCCCUGUGACCAGAAGGUGGAAGCCACCCCAGCGUCCGUCAUGGAUGAACAAGAUGUGGUGGAUCCGUGCGACGAAAUACUAUUCAGCCUUAAAAAAGAAAUUCUGACACUUUACAACAUAAAUAAACCUUGAGGACAUUCUGCUAAACGACGUAAGCCAGUCACAAGAAAAAUACCCUCGGUAGGACACACCUCACGUGAGGUCCUUGGAGCAGUCAAGUUCACAGACACAGAGGUUAUGGCUGACAGGGGCUGGGGGCAGAGGGGGCAGUUGUCAUUUGAUGGCUACGAAGUUCCGGGGCUUUUCUUUUCAAAAGAUUUUAUUUAUUUUUAGAAAGAGAAGGGAGAGACGGAAACACAGAUCAGUUGCCUCUCACACGCCCCCAGCGGGGGACCUGGCCUGCAACCCAGACGUGUGCCCUGACUGGGAAUUGAACCGGCAACCCUUUGGUUCACAGGCCAGCACUCAAUCCACCGAGCCACACCAGCCAGGACUGAAGUUCCAGUUUUGCAAGAUGAAAAUAAUUCUGGAGAUGGUUGGUGGUGAUGACCCUACAACCAGGUGGAUACACUUAAUGCCCUUCAAUUGCACAUACAAAAAUGCUCAAUUUCACACAAUUAAAAAUAAAUUUUUAAAAAUUCCAUGUGGAAAAGACUUCGUUUCUUCGGGUGCUGGAAGCAAGCAGCGAACCAUGGCCUGCGGGUGCCUCUGCCCACAGACACACAGUGGGGAGCGCACAGGCACUCGAAUUGGAGAGCCCGUGGAGGGGCCCUGAGCCCCACCAUCCGUCCCCUUCCCCGCCCGGCUACUGAGGAAGCUGAGGCUGAGGCCCCAGAGAGUGAGGAGACUUCAGGCAACAAUCUGGGUGCUUCUCCCUUGGCCGGGGGCCUCUGCCGCCCUGGGCUUGGGCCCCACGUGGACAGGGCUGGUGGGAG